AUACGGAGGGUGCAAGCGUUAUUCGGAAUCACUGGGCGUAAAGGACGCGUAGGCGGGUUGGCAAGUCAGAUGUGAAAUCCUACAGCUUAACUGUAGAACUGCAUUUUAAACUGCUAACCUAGAGUAUGGGAGGGGGAGAUGGAAUUAGUGGUGUAGGGGUAAAAUCCGUAGAUAUCACUAGGAAUACCGAAAGCGAAGGCGAUCUCCUGGAACAUAACUGACGCUAAGGCGUGAAAGCGUGGGGAGCAAACAGGAUUAGAAACCCUAGUAGUCC
rnacentral:rRNA from 1 species